CAACUCGCCUGCACGAAGUUGGAAUUGCUAGUAAUCGUGGAUCAGCAUGCCACGGUGAAUACGUUCCCGGGUCUUGUACACACCGCCCGUCACACCAUGGGAGCCGGUAAUACCCGAAGUCAGUAGUCUAACCGCAAGGAGGACGCUGCCGAAGGUAGGAUUGGCGACUGGGGUGAAGUCGUAACAAGGUAUC
rnacentral:rRNA from 1 species